UGGGCCCAGUCCUGUUUAACAUCUUCAUUGAUGACCUGGGUGAUGGGAUCAAGUCCACCAUUAGCCAAUUUGCAGGUGGCACGAAGUUGGGGAGGAAUGUCAAUCUACUGAAAGGGAGUACUGCCAGAAGGACUCCCACCAGAGGCUGGAGGAGCAGAAAUGAAGUAUGUCCAACAAGAGGAGUAAUGUCAGUUGCAUACAGAUUCUGCUGUUGUGCAGAGACAGGCCAUCACCAAUGCAUAUACAGAAAGCUCCAGUCUCUGGCAAACCACCAUUGAAUAGAUCCAGAAGAGGACCAGACCGACCACAGAACCUCUGUUUUCUACAGCAACUAUCACCUCAACAGGACUGCAACCACCACUUCAUAGGAUUGUCACCACCACCCUGGCCAACAGGAUGCCAGACCUGCUCCAAGAAGCCCCAGACUGCAGCUACCCACAGAAAGCCACUGACACAUCCUGGCCAAUUAAGGCUCUCCAUCAAUAUUUUGGAGCUAGCAUGACACAGACAGAAUACAAGAAUAUGAAGAGUUAUGGCUUUGAUUACUUCCAACAUCAGAAAAAACCUUCAUUGGAGGUGGAAUCAAUACAUCAGAUACUCAGGGCACCAGCAGUCCAAGAAAUCUGUUCUGAUUCUAG